CCUCACCUCCGGGAGCCUCUGCUUCCCCUCAGAGGGUGUGGGGACCCCAGGAUGGUGCCUGGGAGGCAGACUGCAGCCCCAAGACAGCCUGGUCCCACCAGAGCAUCUGGUCUCAGAUGCUCUGAGCGGCCCCCCUCAACCAUCUCAGCAGCGAGCCUGGGUCAGAACACCCCCCGACCUGUACCCCGUUCCUUUACUGCUUUCCUUGGCAUUCCCUCAAAUCUUUUCCCUUUAAACUAUUUUUUUUUUUUUGGAUGUGGACCAUUUUUGAAGUCUUUAUUGAAUUUGUUACAAUACUGCUUCUGUUUUAUGUUUCGAUUUUCUGACCUUGAGGCGCGUGGAAUCUUAGUUCCUCUGCCCGGGUACGAACUUGCACCCCUCAACUGUCAGGGAAGUCCCUAAACCCUUAAAUUAAAGAAGAAUGUCCCUCACCUGCUUCCCCGCAGCAAGGAAACAAGUUCCUGGCCCGCAUAAAGGCCACCCUGAGCCUGCAGGGAGUGAUGAUGGCUCUGCUAUCCACCCGCUGGUGAGGGUCUUCGUGCUCAAAGUGACUGCUUGUUGGGAGAAGGACUCUCUGGUUUCAGUGUCAAUGCCGACUGCCGCAUUCUGUAAGUCAGGGUCUGUGAACCAUCUCGCCCCGGUCCAUCGACCCGGAUGCCUAAGACUGUUCUAUCGGGAUUGUGAUUUGAGCUCAAGUCUGUGUGGAUCCUGGGUUGGAGGUAAUCUAGUUGGCUCAGGAGACCACUGUAGGUCUUUCAGGAUUGCAGAAAUACCAUUCUGUUCCAAGAGUGAAGGAACAAACACAGAACUGGCAGCUCUAGUGGAUCAGAGACAGAACCUGCCAACCUAA
rnacentral:lncRNA from 1 species